rnacentral:rRNA from 1 species
GACGAACGCUGGCGGCGUGCUUAACACAUGCAAGUCGAGCGGUAAGGCCCUUUCGGGGGUACACGAGCGGCGAACGGGUGAGUAACACGUGGGUGACCUGCCCUUUAGCUCUGGGAUAAGCCUGGGAAACUGGGUCUAAUACCGGAUAUGACUCCAUGAUGCAUGUUGUGGGGUGGAAAGCCUUGUGCGGCUGGAGAUGGGCCCGCGGCCUAUCAGCUUGUUGGUGGGGUGAUGGCCUACCAAGGCGACGACGGGUAGCCGGCCUGAGAGGGCGACCGGCCACACUGGGACUGAGACACGGCCCAGACUCCUACGGGAGGCAGCAGUGGGGAAUCUUGCGCAAUGGGCGAAAGCCUGACGCAGCGACGCCGCGUGAGGGAUGAC